rnacentral:rRNA from 1 species
UGGGGAAUAUUGGCACAAUGGGCGCAAGCCUGAUGCAGCAACGCCGCGUGAGGGAUGACGGCCUUCGGGCUUGUAAAACCUCUUUUUAGUAGGGAAAGAAGCGAAAGUGACGGUACCUGCAGAAAAAGCACCGGCUAACUACGUGCCAGCAGCCGCGGUAAUACGUAGGGUGCGAGCGUUGUCCGGAAUUAUUGGGCGUAAAGAGCUCGUAGGCGGUCUGUCGCGUCUGCUGUGAAAAUCCCGAGGCUCAACCUCGGGCCUGCAGUGGGUACGGGCAGACUAGAGUGCGGUAGGGGAGAAUGGAAUUCCUGGUGUAGCGGUGGAAUGCGCAGAUAUCAGGAGGAACACCGAUGGCGAAGGCAGUUCUCUGGGCCGUAACUGACGCUGAGGAGCGAAAGCGUGGGGAGCGAACAGGAUUAGAUACCCUGGUAGUCCACGCCGUAAACGUUGGGCGCUAGAUGUGGGGCACCAUUCCACGGUUUCCGUGUCGCAGCUAACGCAUUAAGCG